rnacentral:rRNA from 1 species
UUGAGCAAUGUCUUAGCACCYGCUGAAUUUAAGCAUAUCAGUAAGCAGAGGAACUGCAACA